CCUACGGGUGGCAGCAGUGAGGAAUAUUGGUCAAUGGCCGGAAGGCUGAACCAGCCAAGCCGCGUGAAGGACGAAGGUGCCAAGCAUUGUAAACCUCUUUUGUCAAGGGACAAAAUCAGGCUCGAGAGCCUGACCGAGGGUACCUGAAGAAAAAGCAUCGGCUAACUCCGUGCCAGCAGCCGCGGUAAUACGGAGGAUGCGAGCGUUAUCCGGAUUUAUUGGGUUUAAAGGGUGCGUAGGCGGGCGGUUAAGUCAGCGGUAAAAGCGCGGGGCUCAACCCCGGCGAGCCGUUGAAACUGGGUGUCUUGAGAGGGCGAGGGGUAGGCGGAAUGCGCGGUGUAGCGGUGAAAUGCUUAGAUAUUGCGCAGAACUCCGAUUGCGAAGGCAGCAUACCGGCGGCGAUCUGACGCUGAGGCACGAAAGCGUGGGUAUCGAACAGGAUUAGAUACCCUUGUAGUC
rnacentral:rRNA from 1 species